GAUAAAUAUUAGAAAAAUGGUAGCCAUUGGAUUAAAGUUUUGAUCCAAGGGCUUCCAUUUUUCUGAUUUUUAAUAG
rnacentral:pre_miRNA from 1 species